ACAUUCUUACUAAUACCUCCUCCACUACUAGUAAUUAUAAGAUGAUAAAAAUUAUUUAACGUAUGUAUAUAUAUAUGUGGUGUAAAAUAAAAACAAAAGAAAAAGAAAAUAUAAAAUAAAAUGUGUGGGACCCACCAUUAAUGGUCUAUCAUCUCAAACACACUCUCUCCCUCUUGAUCCUCUCAGCAGCCAAAUUCGCUCACUCAUUACAAAUUGAAGCUUUGUUGGUCUAUCAUUGAUUAAAGCUCCAUUAAUGUCUCUAGUACACCUAAGAAAGGUGACUAAUAGGAUUACUGAUAUAAUCCAAUUGUAGUGUUAUAUGUGUUUCUAUAUAUGUAAAUCUAUAUAUGUGUGUGUGUGUGUUUGAUUAUUGGCGUGUAUACAGUGUCACAUAUACACUACAAGACUGAUGGUGGUUGAUUUAUCGUGCCAUUUGAGUGUUGGAAUCCCUAAUCACAUCCGCUCAUUUUCCAUGACAUCUUCUCUGGCAACCUCUCCUAAUAUUUCUGAGAAAUUAAUGGUUAUGUGAAGGCUUGGGAUGAAAAGAAGGUCGAGUUGGGAACCCCAUCACAAAAAUGUUUCCUUCCCUUCCUCGUCGGCAUGCCAAACUGGUUCAAAAUCGAUUAUCAUCUUCUUUUGGGAUAGCUGGGUGUGCUUCUUAAGGUAUUAGAAUAUGAUGACAGACACUACAAUAAGGAUAUCAAGAUAAGAAAAACACAAGUAGUGUAAUACUGACCAAUUGGGUUGCCUAGAAAAGUGAGCAAUUGCCUUAAUAUUUUGAUUUUUGUGGGCAAUUGUGUGUGUGUGUGUGUGUCAACAAUGAUGGAAUUGUACAUUGAAAACCUUAAUGAAUAUAAGACUUAUUAAAAUUUAUUUGUUUGUGAUUGGUGGGAUUUGCCCUUUUUUAUUUUUUGUAUGGCUUGGGCUAUUUUUUUGCAUGCAUCAAAUAUGU